GCCUAGCCCUGAUUGAAGAGUAAAUCCCACGCUUUUUUGCGUGGAUUGAAACGGAAAGCAGGAAAUAGC
rnacentral:sRNA from 1 species